AGUUAAUUAGACCAAUUUUUGAAUAAAUUAGUGGAAAUUAAAUCGACGCAAUCAAUAAAUUACUUUGUGAAUGUAUCGACAGAUACAUUCGUCACUAUUUUUUUUUCUUUAUUAAAAUUCUAUAUAAAUAAGUACAGUGAUUCAAGACACAUUUUUUUUUGUUGUAGAGCCAAUACAAGUCGUAAAAAAUAAUUAUCGGUUGAUGUUAGUUCAAAAGUUAAAGUGCUCCAAAU